rnacentral:rRNA from 1 species
AUUGAACGCUGGCGGCAUGCCUUACACAUGCGAGUCGAACGGCAGCACGGGUGCUUGCACCUGGUGGCGAGUGGCGAACGGGUGAGUAAUACAUCGGAACAUGUCCUGUAGUGGGGGAUAGCCCGGCGAAAGCCGGAUUAAUACCGCAUACGAUCUACGGAUGAAAGCGGGGGACCUUCGGGCCUCGCGCUAUAGGGUUGGCCGAUGGCUGAUUAGCUAGUUGGUGGGGUAAAGGCCUACCAAGGCGACGAUCAGUAGCCGGUCUGAGAGGACGACCAGCCACACUGGGACUGAGACACGGCCCAGACUCCUACGGGAGGCAGCAGUGGGGAAUUUUGGACAAUGGGCGAAAGCCUGAUCCAGCAAUGCCGCGUGUGUGAAGAAGGCCUUCGGGUUGUAAAGCACUUUUGUCCGGAAAGAAAUCCUUGGCCCUAAUACGGUCGGGGGAUGACGGUACCGGAAGAAUAAGCACCGGCUAACUACGUG